rnacentral:lncRNA from 1 species
UGGAUGUACAAGUGAGUAAUUAGACAACAUUGGAUGUAUCCAAGUGGGUGAUUUGGAAUCCCUGAACACUAGAAACAGUUGGAAAUCCAUACUGAAAAUCUAUGACUUUGCAUAUAGAUGCCAUAUUGAAAUGAUUUUGAGUUGACAUUCCAAUCGAUUCCUAAAUAUUAAAUUCCAAUCAAUAUAUAAAAAAUAUACUUUGAGAAUGCCAAUGUUAAAAAAAUUAAAAAAAAA